rnacentral:rRNA from 1 species
CAGCCAAGUCGUGAGGCGGAGCUAAUCCCUUAAAGCCAUUCUCAGUUCGGAUUGUAGGCUGAAACUCGCCUACAUGAAGCUGGAGUUACUAGUAAUCGCAGAUCAGAACGCUGCGGUGAAUGCGUUCCCGGGUCUUGUACACACCGCCCGUCACACCACGGAAGUUGGGGGCGCCCGAAGCCACUUAGCUAACCCUUUUGGGAAGCGAGUGUCGAAGGUGAAAUCAAUAACUGGGGUGAAGUCGUAACAAGGUACC